rnacentral:rRNA from 1 species
AUUGAACGCUGGCGGCAGGCCUAACACAUGCAAGUCGAACGAGUGGCGGACGGGUGAGUAAUGUCUGGGAAACUGCCCGAUGGAGGGGGAUAACGACUGGAAACGGUAGCAAAAACCGAAUACAAGGGGAUGUGCCCCGAUGGGAUUACCUAGUGGGUGGGGUAAAGGCUCACCUAGGCGACGUUCCCUAGCUGGUCUGAGAGGAUGACCAGCCACACUGGAACUGAGACACGGUCCAGACUCCUACGGGAGGCAGCAGUGGGGAAUAUUGCACAAUGGGCGCAAGCCUGAUGCAGCCAUGCCGCGUGUAUGAAGAAGGCCUUCGGGUUGUAAAGUACUUUCAGCGGGGAGGCGUUACCCGCAGAAGAAGCACCGGCUAACUCCGUGCCAGCAGCCGCGGUAAUAC